rnacentral:lncRNA from 1 species
AAUGCUCAUAUCUGAAGUAAACCACUUGUAGUCACUCGAUGCUUUUGCACAACCUACAUUGAGGAGAACAAUCAUCAAGUCACCAUGCUUUUUCAAACUGGAAAAGAAUAGGUCACAAGAACCAUAGAUUGGGAACUAACCUCCUGUCACAAUUAGCUCCAUCUCCUGAUAAACAGCAGGGGUCCAAGGGAGUAGAAUCUUAGGUGUGUCAUCUUUACUGUUCAAUGUGAACUGCACUUUCUCACAAACCAUAAUUUCUUGGACAACUUUGAGAACCUGCUAGAGACGAAGUUGUUAAACUUGCAAUACCAACAAAUGGAAGAGACAAAAGGGUUUCCAAAGAUAUAUAAUUUUCUCACCUCUUUUGAUUCCUGAUGCCCACUGAAGUAAGUCAAUGUAGCCAUUAGCUCUCCUAAUCCUGGUGACAUUGCGUUCAAAAUUCUAGAAUUUUGCUGACCAUAUUCAGAGGAAAGUUCAUCUGGCAGUGAGAAGAUUUUCCAAUACUCUGAAUCUUUUCCAUACAGUUUUAUGUCAUCCGUCUGCAAUCAACACAAAGGAAAUUAUUAUGUUGAACAAAACUGCAAUAUUAUCUACAAUAAAUCAUCUGGACAUAACUCGGCAAAGGGAAGAGAAACUUAAAAGCAAACAAAUGAACAGCAGUGAGAAAAAAACAGCGACAAAAGACAUGUCACCAGCAGUUUCCUCUCUAGUAUAAAGAGACUCAUGACCAAAGACAAGCUUAUGGACGAUUGAUUGACAACUUAAAGAUAAAGAAACUAGUCACCACGUCCUAUAGCUAAAAAAAUACAGAGGCAAGGUAAUAUUGUCACACAAAGAAACUGGUGCAAACUACAUGUGGGCAUGCAAAAAAAGGUAUAAAAAAGAAGAGAAAUACCUCAGUUAUAUAGAUUUCAUGUGCAUCAGGUCUUCCAGAGAAAAUCUUCAUUUGAAUUAGAUAUUGACGACCAGACACCACAUACCAAUGCAUCGAUGAUGGAAAAGGUUUCGAUUCUGUAAUAAGAUCCCCUGACAUUGACCAAGGUGAUAUGUACAAGAUAAUAGUAUCUGGAGUGACAACAUUAAUAGAUGAUCCUUGAAUGUGGCCAGCGACCCGGGUAUCCUCAACAACAACUGUUGUUACCCCCAAGCUUAACGCUUUAGUCAGACCUAUCAAAGAAUCCACUUGAGCAACAGAAGUGUUCAACACAGACCAUCUAUGAUGUGGUGAUGGUAGAUGCACGGCUGCAAAUAAAAUAAACAAUGGACCAAUCAAGAACGGGAUUGGAAAGCAACAUAACAUAGCAUGUCACACUCGAGCUACAGUUACAUGUAUUUAAAAUAUGAAUCAACAUCCUAAAGCGUAUAAUUCUGCAAGUUUAAUAUGAAAAUGUACUAAGGAUGCUCUAUACAUUGUUUUCAAUUGACAUAUGUAUCAAAAAACCUCAGCUUUAAACACACAAGGUUAUCGAAUAACUCAAACAUUGCAAAAUAUCAAGUUAAUCUCCAAGAUGCAGACAAACCUUGAGGAACAUUUCCACGCAUGACCUUUAACGUGUAACCAAAAGAAGCUCCCAUCAGGACAUAGACUGGUGAACGAGGUUCAAGAGACAUGGCCUCUGCCACCGUUAGUACUAUAUCAUCGGCUAUAUGGGUCAGAGGAGCCUCAAGCAGAUGAACUGAAACCUUCUCAUGUCCAAUUUUGGUUCCCUUCACGACAAACAAAUCUGCAAAUACACCCUGCAUUUAUCAUAUCACAUUAGAUCUCUCAUCAUCAAAUUUUUAGAUUCGGUAAUUCACACUCAACAAUAAAUAUACAUACACUAUCUUCAAGCUUUUUCUGGAUAUCCAAGUAGCCACACAGUCCUCCACAGUCAGUCAACGGAGAUUCCUUCAAAGGCACAUGAGCAAGGUGAUGCGUUGAUCCACCACUUUCAGGCAUCAGCUUCCACAUGAAUUGUAGACCCACCAGUGAGGAGAACUCGUUCUCUGCAAAUAGAUUUUAGCAAAUUAAGUACAGAACAAACUGAAGAAAAACAGUGCAUUAUAUAAAAACAUUAGUCUAUUAACUUGUGACUCUUAAGAAUGUGUAUGAUAAACAAUCUCCAAUUAUAAAGCAUGAAUGAAGAAAAGGACACAGUUAAUCCAUAGAAAGCACUAACCUUCAUUAUCAAAAGCGCGGACUCUAAGCAUUGAAAGUCCAUCAAGAUCAAGCUUGAUAGAAUUAUGAAAAAUCUGAAUCCGUGAGAAGUUGUCAAUAAACACCUUGCAGCGAAUCACCAUCCCGGUCUGUAUAUCAGUGGCAUAAACUGCAGUCUCCUUUCUACCACUAUACGGAGAAAUCGAUCUGAGACGCGCGCUGGUCGAGCAAUGACUGCUCGAAUUAAACUCAGGUGUAACUGAGAGAAUGUCAUGAUGAUCCCACGACCUGCAAAUUAAAACAAAAAAAACUUAGAUUUGUAAUCACUUUGUUCACAGAUUUCGAAAUGAACAAGACACAAGGAAUAAAAACAAUUCAGCUUAAGUAUUCACAAGAAAACAGAACCUUGAUCUCUAAUAUCUCAUGACAAGUGAGAGCUUUGAUAAACGCAGCAGACACGGAAUCAACAAGUAAUACAGCUAUGAAUUGAAAAGAAAAAACUUUAAGCUUUCAUGAAAACUGUACAGAAAAAAAAUUAAUGUCCAGUAUCAAUCAUUUGAGUUCUAUAACACUCUAAUGCUCCAGAUUAGGUCGUAUCUCUGGAAUUAAGUUCGUAAACACUAGAGAACACACACUAAGCAGAAUUAAGAAUAAUCCAUUGUGGCUCCAUACAUAAAACACCAAGCAGCAUACAUAUCCAGAAAUGAACACCAUUGCCGCAAAAGCCCGAUGAAAUCAAGUAAUCAUGAAACGAUAUCACAAAUUAAGCAUUCCUUAAUCAUAUUGUUCUGAGGAACUUUGAAGCUCUAUUACAAAAAACCCAGUUAAGAAAAAGCAAUCAUUCCUCAAUCAAGCUCAUUCUAUUCACAGUUUAACAAUUGACAGAAAUUCAGCUAAGUACCAUUUGAAGCAGCCAUCACUUCCUUGAAGGCGAUACUCAACUGGGUUCUUCAUCUUCGGAGGUAAGAGUAUGUUAACAUCGGUAAUGUGUGGACCAGAACCUAAUUGCGAUGAAAUUUCUCCAGCCGAUAGCAGGAGAAGGAGAAAGAAGAAGCAGAACGAGACACGGACCAUUUUUUUGUUCUCUUUGUUUUGCUACAUCAACGCAGACGAAGGAGAGUGAAUCGAAGAAGUAGAGUAGCUUUUUUGAGUGAAGAGUGACCGUGUGAAAUCGAAGAGAGCUUGAAGAUGGAAGAGAUUGAAACCCUAAAAGUAGGGUUUUUAGAGGGGUUUAUGGAAAGGGGGAAGGAAAUUGAGGGAAACGACGGUGACGUGGAGGAAUUCUAUUGGUGGUGAGGGAGGAUUCGGUGUCGUUUUAGCGAUUUCUUGGAUUCUGCAAAGAGGAGAGUGUUGUUCUUCACGCGCCGAUGAGAUUUUGAUUUUUCAGGUGCUCGGAAGCUUUUUUUUUUUUUUUUUUUUCUUCUUGGUUUAUGUGAACUUAAAAAAGCUUUUGGGAUUUUUUUUGUCUUUAAAAGCUUGGUCCCUAGAUUUUUACAUAUUUCAAAAUUUAGCAUAAGACUUAAGUACAAUUAUAAGUUUACACAUCAACGGUUUUUUAUGGCUUUUAUGUUUUCUAAGCAGCAAGAAUUUGCUCUUUAGGGUUAAUUUACUUGAUCAUAUAUUUUUUGUUGUGUAUGCCUAUCUUCAAGAAAGUUUUUUUUUUUUUUUUCGUCUGAAUAAUUCAUGAAAUAUAACCAAGGGAGAAAUACAAAGUUGGGAUACAUGGUGAAAUACUAACGCCGGCGGGACUCUAACCCCCGGAAAACUAAGCCGGCGGGUACAUGGAAACCCCCAGAGACAAAGGCCAAAAAAGGCAGACAUAAAAGAAGGAAAACCUUAAAGUACAGGGAAAUGCAAAUAUCUAAGACUCAAGCAACACAACUGCAAACUCUUCACGAAAAGAAUCUGACGAACUUUCCAUAGAACAUUUUGGGCGCUGGAAAGUGGUUACAAACAGGAGCAACCAGAGGACCCAUCAUUAGAUUGCCUUUACAUGAAAGGCCCGAGAAGGAUACAAAAACAAGCUCACACAACCACACCCCGAGCAGAAACGAGCACAGAUAAAAGAGGAUCAGAGCACAGAUCCUAACCAUCACUACCACACCAGAAACCAGAGAAGACAAGCAGGAGAAGGGACAAGGAGAAGCCUUGAGAUCCGAAGGGGAAAACGCCAAAGAGGGCCAACAAACCUUACACGCGGACAUUCGUAGACCCAGCCAAAACCAUCUACAGCCUAAGAACUGGUUACGCCACGCAAGAGAAGGAAUAGAGACCGAGCCUACCACAUCGUCUUGAACUCAAACCUUAAAUCCAAACAAGGAAAAAGAAGAGAGCUAGUAGAUGCCUUUGCAGGAGACUACCAUCCAAAUGAAGAACCCACAAAACGAAACCUUCACAAACUCAUAACCCCAAUAACCGGGCAGAAAGUAACAAGAGGCAAAACUAGGAGUCAAUAUUGCCAUCCCUAAACUUGAAACUAAGGCUUCAUACCCUCAACCAACCAUACUACUAACCAAUCCUUGUCGAGAAACACCAACCAAAGAAGAGAGAGAUGAGAGAAAUAAAAAACCAGACCAAGAAACGAAACGAGUUCGUCUCCUUGAAACCACCAGCCACAGGACCACCACCAGAACUGAGCCACUACAAUGCCAACCUGCAGACCAAACGGAUCAGACACUAACCACCACCAAGCCUCACCGACGAUGGCUUCCCCUCCUUCAAACGAUCAUCUCUUCAAAGAGGAAUAUGACGACAAGGCCACAACAACACCAAAAUCAACAAAGCUAAGCCAAGAAAUCCAAAGAAAACGCGGGAGAAGAAGCAAAAAACGCGAGAAAGGAGGCCACGAAACCUCCGCCGCCAACCAUCCACCGAUUCUCCAUCUCCAAAAGCAACAGCCGUAAUAGUGAAGAACCACACGGGCUCCGACGAAAACACCAACCAUCCACUGAGAACCAAGCAAACCCAUCACUAGAACGGAACCAACCCAAUCGAAGCACAACCAUCUAGACCUUGUCUUUAAUCCGCCAUAGGAGAAGCCAAAGAAGACCCAAAACAAAGGAAAAGCAAUUAAAAGAUAAACAGACAGACACACCCUCUCACGACUCCGGCCAAGGGCACCGGAAAACCAGAGAGGUAACGACAGAGAUUUGAGAAGAGAAGUUGUUUGGCGGCUAGAC